CGCGGCUGCGCCCAGCAGAAGUUCCCCGGGCCGAUUUUUGAAGCUUUCUGAUGGAUUUUCGCAGCGGUCGAGGCCCGGUUGACUUGGUCAAUGUAUUUUAAUUUCUCGUGUGUAAAACCCUAGCCUCCAAGUAGUUUUAGAAGAGAACAAUAUCAUAGUUUAAUUUUUUUAUCGAAGCACAUUAUCAGUUUGUAUUGGAUCGUUCUUCGCGAGGAAGUGACAGUUUCGAGCGAGUUCGUGAACAUCAAUUCUGUAACGUUGUGAUCUUUAUUAUUAAUUCAAGCAUUUUUAUUCCAUUUAA
rnacentral:lncRNA from 1 species